ACACGUGGUAUCCUGUCUGAAUAUGGGGGGACCAUCCUCCAAGGCUAAAUACUCCUGACUGACCGAUAGUGAACCAGUACCGUGAGGGAAAGGCGAAAAGAACCCCGGCGAGGGGAGUGAAAAAGAACCUGAAACCGUGUACGUACAAGCAGUGGGAGCCUCUUUAUGGGGUGACUGCGUACCUUUUGUAUAAUGGGUCAGCGACUUAUAUUCUGUAGCAAGGUUAACCGUAUAGGGGAGCCGAAGGGAAACCGAGUCUUAACUGGGCGUUAAGUUGCAGGGUAUAGACCCGAAACCCGGUGAUCUAGCCAUGGGCAGGUUGAAGGUUGGGUAACACUAACUGGAGGACCGAACCGACUAAUGUUGAAAAAUUAGCGGAUGACCUGUGGCUGGGGGUGAAAGGCCAAUCAAACCGGGAGAUAGCUGGUUCUCCCCGAAAGCUAUUUAGGUAGCGCCUCGUGAACUCAUCUUCGGGGGUAGAGCACUGUUUCGGCUAGGGGGCCAUCCCGGCUUACCAACCCGAUGCAAACUACGAAUACCGAAGAAUGUUAUCACGGGAGACACACGGCGGGUGCUAACGUCCGUCGUGAAGAGGGAAACAACCCAGACCGCCAGCUAAGGUCCCAAAGUCAUGGUUAAGUGGGAAACGAUGUGGGAAGGCACAGACAGCCAGGAUGUUGGCUUAGAAGCAGCCAUCAUUUAAAGAAAGCGUAAUAGCUCACUGGUCGAGUCGGCCUGCGCGGAAGAUGUAACGGGGCUAAACCAUGCACCGAAGCUGCGGCAGCGACACUAUGUGUUGUUGGGUAGGGGAGCGUUCUGUAAGCCGUUGAAGGUGUCCUGUGAGGGGUGCUGGAGGUAUCAGAAGUGCGAAUGCUGACAUAAGUAACGAUAAAGCGGGUGAAAAGCCCGCUCGCCGGAAGACCAAGGGUUCCUGUCCAACGUUAAUCGGGGCAGGGUGAGUCGACCCCUAAGGCGAGGCCGAAAGGCGUAGUCGAUGGGAAACAGGUUAAUAUUCCUGUACUUGGUGUUACUGCGAAGGGGGGACGGAGAAGGCUAUGUCAGCCGGGCGACGGUUGUCCCGGUUUAAGCAUGUAGGCGGAGGUUCCAGGUAAAUCCGGUACCUUGUUAACGCUGAGGUGUGAUGACGAGGCACUACGGUGCUGAAGUGAUAAAUGCCCUGCUUCCAGGAAAAGCCUCUAAGCAUCAGGUAACACGAAAUCGUACCCCAAACCGACACAGGUGGUCAGGUAGAGAAUACCAAGGCGCUUGAGAGAACUCGGGUGAAGGAACUAGGCAAAAUGGUGCCGUAACUUCGGGAGAAGGCACGCUGAUAGGUAGGUGAAGUCCCUGCGGACGGAGCUGAAAUCAGUCGAAGAUACCAGCUGGCUGCAACUGUUUAUUAAAAACACAGCACUGUGCAAACACGAAAGUGGACGUAUACGGUGUGACGCCUGCCCGGUGCCGGAAGGUUAAUUGAUGGGGUUAGCGGCAACGCGAAGCUCUUGAUCGAAGCCCCGGUAAACGGCGGCCGUAACUAUAACGGUCCUAAGGUAGCGAAAUUCCUUGUCGGGUAAGUUCCGACCUGCACGAAUGGCGUA
rnacentral:rRNA from 1 species